GGGUUUUGUUCUGUCACUCUUGCCAGAGUGCAGUGAAACAAUCAGGGCUCGCUGCAACCUUGAACUCCUGAGCUCAAGGGACCCUCCUUCUUCAGCCUCCUAAGCAGCUGGGACUACAGGCACAUGCCAGAGUGCCCAGCUCCUCCAACUCCCAGACUGUGUGGUUCUGCACAACAGUGAAGAAAAUGUCAAGGAACCGAAACAAGCUGAGGCAGAUUUGUAUACUCCAGAUAUUUCAUGUCAGGCCUCUGAGCCCAAGCUAAGCCAUCAUAUCCCCUGUGACCUGCACGCAUACAUCCAGAUGGCCCGAAGCAAUUGAAGAUCCACGAAAGAAGUGAAAAUAACCUUAACUGAUGACAUUCCACCAUUGUGAUUUGUUUCUGCCCCACCCUAACUGAUCAAUGUACUUUGUAAUCUCCCUCACCCUUAAGAAGGUUCUUUGUAAUCUCCCCCACACUUAAGAAGGUUCUUUGUAAUUCACCCCACCAUUGAGAAUGUACUUUGUGAGAUCCACCCCCUGCCCACAAAACAUUGCUCCUAACUCCACCGCCUAUCCCAAAACCUAUAAGAACUAAUGAUAAUCCCACCACCCUUUGCUGACUCCUUUUUCGGACUCAGCCUACCUGUACCCAGGUGAAAUAAACAGCCUUGUUGCUCACACAA